AGUGAACGCUGGCGGCGUGCCUAAUACAUGCAAGUCGAACGGAGUGGCGCACGGGUGAGUGAUGUAUAGCUAAUCUGCCCUACACUAGCGGACAACAUUUGGAAACGGCUGCUAAUACUCUAUAGUGUAGGAUGAGGCUAUAUUGUAUCAGCUAGUUGGUGAGGUAAUGGCUCACCCAGGCGAUGACGCGUAACUGGUCUGUGAGGAUGAUCAGUCACACUGGAACUGAGACACGGUCCAGACUCCUACGGGAAGCAGCAGUAGGGAAUAUUGCUCAAUGGGGGAAACCCUGAAGCAGCAACGCCGCGUGGAGGAUGACACUUGGCGGAGCGUAAACUCCGUUUGUUAGGGAAGCGGUACCUAACGAAUAAGCACCGGCUAACUCCGUGCCAGCAGCCGCGGUAAUAC
rnacentral:rRNA from 1 species